UGGGAUUGUAAUGAAAGUUGGGUUUGAUCAAUUAGAUCCCAUAAUCAUAAAUAUACUAGUCAAACAAUCGAACGACAAUUGGUAAAAACAUACGGUCCUUAUCAUAUUUGAGGAUAUUUUCGUGUUUUUUAGGAACACAAUCUCGUCCUUUAGGGAGGAGUAUUUAGCGAAUAACCCCAUCAGAACGACGGAAGAAAACAGUGCUGUGGCGAUGCCUCCAAAGUUGUUUAGUCGUACUGAGUUUGGACAGCAAAUUCAGCAUGAUAUUUUGUCGCUUAACAAGUUCUUGUUCCAAAAUUGACAGUAUGUUUUUGCCCCGCUGCAGGUUGGCUGACUUGAAAGACUUCAAAUUGGCAAAAUUGUGUGCGCAGAUUUUCCAGAACCUGGACCGGCUGAUCAACGUACCAGGUAGCAGCACCUAGAUUAUGAGCUAAGCCGCAAAACUCGUAUGCUGUACCUAGAACUGAAUGAAUUUCAAUGUAGGAGGUUCAGGGCUAGUGAAUAAUUACUAGAGGUAAUCAAUUGAAGUAACUGUCUGAUGCAAAAUUACAUAUACAACCGAAUCUGUAUGUUUCCAUCUGUAUCAAGAACUGGUUUAUUAACAUUACGUAGCAACUUACAACGUACAAGCCUUGCUAGCCAUUUUUGAAGCUUCAACCACGGUCGCGAAACUCCAGCCUUCUCUUGGUAUACUUCUUACUCCUUCUCCCUCACAACAUCUAUAUGUAUUGGUAUUUUUCAGUUGUUUCAGGUUCGAAAGCGUCCAACACUCACUUCAGAAACGUUGAAAUUGAGUAUACACACAUACUGUUACACCUUUUCUCACACAGACCAAUGUUAGGUUCUCGGUCAUUUUGGUCUUCGCAAGCACCGUCAGCUUCUCUCCCGCGCCUUCGGCUUCUUCAAGAAAAGCCCAGCUACAGAUAACAAAUCUGAUAAACAUUCUUGAGAAGGGUGUUCCAAAGCUACUUGCAUUGAUGCAUUUGCUCAGCUCACACUUGCAGUUAAAAUUUAAUGCAACGAAGACAAAUCAGAGUCUUUGAAUUGCCUGGACGAUACAUUAUAAAAGUUUGUUGAAGGUGAUUUUGAUAUCUAUGUUGCACAAAUGCGAUAACCGCACAUCCGGGGGGAAACCUGAGCAGCUAAUAGCAUCGCAUGUGCCACAGUAGGUGUAUACAUGGGAACAUUAUAAGAGACCGUAAGAAGGUGUAUACAUGGGAAAAGCAUUCCUUCGUAUUGAGAGUGUAAGUAUGAGUUGGCCCGUGUUGAGUUAUUAGAUUUGUAAUGCUAGUGAAUAUAUAAUGUUGGACUGGCAAGUUAUGCAUCAGUGCUGGUACAAAUAUUAGUUGUAUAUCCACAAAUUAUCUUAUAGUAAUCCUUUAGUUAUA